GAUGAAGAACGUAGCGAAAUGCGAUAAGUAAUGCGAAUUGCAGAAUUCCAGUGAGUCAUCGAAUCUUUGAACGCACAUUGCGCCCCUUGGUAUUCCGAGGGGCAUGCCUGUUCGAGCGUCAUUAUAACCCCUCAAGCUCGGCUUGGUGUUGGGGCCUGCCGCACGGGCAGCCCUUAAAAUCAGUGGCGGUGCCAUCUGGCUCUAAGCGUAGUAAUUCUUCUCGCUAUAGAGUCCCGGUGGAUGCUUGCCAUUAACCCCCAAUUUCAAUGGUUGACCUCGGAUCAGGUAGGGAUACCCGCUGAACUUAAGCAUAUCAAUAAGCGGAGGA
rnacentral:misc_RNA from 1 species